rnacentral:rRNA from 1 species
GACAGAGGGUGCAAACGUUGUUCGGAAUUACUGGGCGUAAAGCGCACGUAGGCGGAUUUGUAAGUCAGGGGUGGAAUCCCGGGGCUCAACCUCGGAACUGCCUUUGAUACUGCAAAUCUCGAGUCCGGAAGAGGUGAGUGGAAUUCCUAGUGUAGAGGUGAAAUUCGUAGAUAUUAGGAAGAACACCAGUGGCGAAGGCGGCUCACUGGUCCGGUACUGACGCUGAGGUGCGAAAGCGUGGGGAGCAAACAGG